rnacentral:lncRNA from 1 species
GAGAAUAAGGCGAUCCCACUUUUCCUAAUUGGGAAUAUGGCAACUUCUUCGUCAUUCUAAUCAAACUAGGAUAAAUCACGAUUUGAAAUGCUGUCAUUGGAUACAUAAAAUAGUGGAGAAUCACCAGGAAGUUGAAUAAAUAUCAUAGGAGUUAGGAGAAAGAAGUUAUCCCACUUUCAAAUCAGGUGAUCCCAGUUUUCCUGUUUAGAAUAUGACAACUUCUUUGUCAUUCUAAUCAAACCAGGAUGAAUCGCG